GUCUACAGCCAUACAACCCUGAAUGCACUCAAUCUCGAAGCUAAGCAGGUUCAGGCCUAGCUAGUACUUGGAUGGAAGAAAUAAACAGGAUUGUGAGUACUAUGAAUA
ensembl:rRNA 5S_rRNA 5S ribosomal RNA